rnacentral:rRNA from 1 species
UACGUAGGGUGCGAGCGUUAAUCGGAAUUACUGGGCGUAAAGCGUGCGCAGGCGGUUUUGUAAGACAGCUGUGAAAUCCCCGGGCUUAACCUGGGAACUGCGGUUGUGACGGCAAGACUGGAGUGUGGCAGAGGGGGGUGGAAUUCCACGUGUAGCAGUGAAAUGCGUAGAGAUGUGGAGGAACACCGAUGGCGAAGGCAGCCCCCUGGGUUAACACUGACGCUCAUGCACGAAAGCGUGGGGAGCAAACAGG